rnacentral:sRNA from 1 species
GUUUGCACUCAUCGGGGAAGGGUGAGAACCUUCGACUAAGGUUCGAUUCGAGCGAAAGCGAGAGAACGUUGCCACAGGUAACGGCCCGAAGGGUGAGGAGCGAAGCGACGAAUAAUCCUUCCCCCACCACCA